GACGAACGCUGGCGGCGUGCCUAAUACAUGCAAGUCGAACGCAGUGGGGACGGGUGAGUAACACGUGGGUAAACUGGCAGCAGAGGGGAUAACACUUGGAAAAAGGUGCUAAACCGACACUGAUGGAUGGACCCGCGGUGGAUUAGCUAGUUGGUGAGGUAACGGCUCACCAAGGCCACGAUGCAUAGCCGACUGGAGAGGAUGAUCGGCCACACUGGGACUGAGACACGGCCCAGACUCCUACGGGAGGCAGCAGUAGGGAAUUUUCGGCAAUGGACGAAAGUCUGACCGAGCAACGCCGCGUGAAUGAAGAAGGUUUUCGGAUCGUAAAGCUCUGUUGUUAGAGAAGCGGUAUCUGCCCAGAAAGCAACGGCUAACUACGUGCCAGCAGCCGCGGUAAUAC
rnacentral:rRNA from 1 species